UACGUAGGGUGCAAGCGUUGUCCGGAAUUAUUGGGCGUAAAGAGCUUGUAGGCGGUUUGUCGCGUCUGCUGUGAAAUUUCGGGGCUCAACCCCGAACUUGCGGUGGGUACGGGCAGACUAGAGUGUGGUAGGGGAGACUGGAAUUCCUGGUGUAGCGGUGAAAUGCGCAGAUAUCAGGAGGAACACCGAUGGCGAAGGCAGGUCUCUGGGCCACUACUGACGCUGAGAAGCGAAAGCGUGGGGAGCGAACAGG
rnacentral:rRNA from 1 species